UCAAUGGAUCUUUUGAGAUCCACUGUGUGCCAUUUUAAAAAUUAAAU
rfam:Ficedula albicollis isolate OC2 chromosome 11, whole genome shotgun sequence.